AUGAUCACUCGGCUAAGCAUGCCUCUCCUUAAUGUCAAUAUGCCUUGUCCAUUGCUGUUCUGGUUAGUGUUUAUUGGCUUAUUUCAUUGUAGAGCCUCUAGCCCUGCUCAUUAUACCUUAUCCAACCUUUCAGUUCCACCACCCACACAUGCUAUGACAUCUUCUGGUUUAAAUGAUGUUUCUAGAGACAAUAUCGCUCUCAUCAUCAAUCAAUGUCUAGGUUUACAUCCACUGUAUUCACAUCCUACCAUACCUUUGUCUGUACAUUAUACCUUGAAGCUAUUUUAUCACCCCCAGAAACCUGCUCCUUUUACUCUCUAUUCUGAAUGUCAUAGACAACCAAUUCUCAUAGCUUUUAGCCGUACUCUUAACCUACUCCUCCUCUGUUCCUCUGGUGAUGUAGAGGUGAAUCCAGGCCCUGCAGUGCCUAGCUCCACUCCUAUUCCCCAGGCGCUCUCAUUUGUUGACUUCUGUAACCGUAAUAACCUUGGUUUCAUGCAUGUUAACAUUAGAAGCCUCCUCCCCAAGUUUGUUUUAUUCACUGCUUUAGCACACUCUGCCAACCCGGAUGUCCUAGCCGUGUCUGAAUCCUGGCUUAGGAAGUCCACCAAAAACUCUGAAAUCUUCAUCCCUAACUACAACAUUUUCAGACAAGAUAGAAUGGCCAAAGAGGGCGGUGUUUCAAUCUACUGCAGAGAUGGCCUGCAGAGUUCUGUUCUACUAUCCAGGUCUGUACCCAAACAAUUUGAACUUCUACUUUUAAAAAUCCAUCUCUCUAAAAACAAGUCUCUCACCGUUGCCGCCUGCUAUAGACCACCCUCUGCCCCCAGCUGUGCUCUGGACACCAUAUGUGAACUGAUUGCCCCCCAUCUAUCUUCAGAGCUCGUGCUGCUAGGUGACCUAAACUGGGACAUGCUUAACACCCCAGCCAUCCUACAAUCUAAGCGUGAUGCCCUCAAUCUCACACAAAUUAUCAAUGAACCUACCAGGUACCACCCCAAAGCCGUAAACACGGGCACCCCCAUAAAUAUCAUCCUAACCAACUUGCCCUCUAAAUACACCUCAGCUGUUUUCAACCAAGAUCUCAGCGAUCACUGCCUCAUUGCCUGCAUCCGUAAUGGGACUGCGGUUAAACGACCUCCACUCAUCAUUGUCAAACGCUCCCUGAAACAUUUCAGUGAGCAAGCCUUUCUAAUCGACCUGGCCCGGGUAUCCUGGAAGGAUAUUGACCUCAUCCCGUCAGUACAGGAUGCCUGGUUAUUUUUUUUAAAUGCCUUCCUCACCAUCUUAAAUAAGCAUGCCCCAUUCAAGAAAUUUAGAACCAGGAACAGAUAUAGCCCUUGGUUCUCUCCAGACCUGACUGCCCUUAACCAACACAAAAACAUCCUGUGGCGUUCUGCAUUAGCAUCGAACAGCCCCCGUGAUAUGCAACUUUUCAGGGAAGUUAGAAACCAAUAUACACAGGCAGUCAGAAAAGUAUUACUAGCAUGUUCAACCUCUCUUUUGUGUCGUCUGAGAUUCCCAAAGAUUGGAAAGCAGCUACUGUCAUCCCCCUCUUCAAAGGGGGGGACACUCUUGACCCAAACUGCUACAGACCUAUAUCUAUCCUACCCUGCCUUUCUAAGGUCUUCGAAAGCCAAGUCAACAAACAGAUUACCGACCAUUUCGAAUCCCACUGCACCUUCUCCGCUAUGCAAUCUGGUUUCAGAGCUGGUCAUGGGUUCACCUCAGCCACGCUCAAGGUCCUAA
rnacentral:lncRNA from 8 species